GGACGACGACGGUGGUGAUGAUGAUGAUGAUGAUGAGGAUGAUGAUGAUGAUCACCAUCAUCAUCAUCAUCAUCACCAUCAUCAUCAUCACCGCCA
rnacentral:pre_miRNA from 1 species